UAAUUACUCCCUCCGUCCCAAAAUUCUUGUCUUAGAUUUGUCCAAAUACGGAUGUAUCAAGUCAUGUUUUAGUAUUAGGUACAUCCGUAUCUAGACAAAUGUAAGACAAGAAUUUUGGGACGGAGGGAGUACAUU
rnacentral:pre_miRNA from 1 species